GAAUUUUUUUUUUAUUCUAUUUUCUUGUUUUUUUUUCCUGGUUACAUGUUCUGUUUGUUUUCUUCCUUCUUUGUACAAUUAACUAUUAUUUCAAAUUGUUGUUCAUUAACCGUCAUUCUAAUGUUCUGACGUAAUUAAUAUGUUUAUAAUUUCCUAUUGAUUUGGUGAUUCAUUGUAGAGAAAGAGACAGAGAAAAGAUUUCCAAGUGAGAGAAAUAUUCUCAACAUGAUGAAUGGUGAUUAAGGUGAGUAAAUACCAUUGGAAAAUUAGGUAAAACUGUAUAUCUUUGAAAAGAUAACCUUGGUUAAAGAAGUAAUAAUAACCUUGGAUAAAUUAUUUCAUGGAAAAAAUAUAAUUAACUAUACCCACAUUUGAGUGAUUCCUUGUUGAGUGAGAGGCAACAAUUUAAAAUUCCCAAUGAUUGAUCCCAAGAGGAGAGAGAUACUUGAUAAUCAAGACAAUCGGAGACCUCUGACUGUUUGAUGGAUCCAAUUGAAACAAUAGGAGGGGCUGAUGAUGGUAUUUUAUGUCAACAAUUGUACUUGCCAAGGGAAAAUAACAACACAAUUAGUCUAAUUGUGUUUAGAUUGUUAAACUUUGCUGAUUGUGUUUACCUAAAACAACAUUGGAAAUGAAGAAAUGUUUUUUUUCUGGU